CAGUAGCCGCGGUAAUACGUAGGUCCCGAGCGUUGUCCGGAUUUAUUGGGCGUAAAGCGAGCGCAGGCGGUUAGAUAAGUCUGAAGUUAAAGGCUGUGGCUUAACCAUAGUACGCUUUGGAAACUGUUUAACUUGAGUGCAAGAGGGGAGAGUGGAAUUCCAUGUGUAGCGGUGAAAUGCGUAGAUAUAUGGAGGAACACCGGUGGCGAAAGCGGCUCUCUGGCUUGUAACUGACGCUGAGGCUCGAAAGCGUGGGGCGCAAACAGGAUUAGAUACCCCGCGUAGUCCCUGUCUCUUAUAC
rnacentral:rRNA from 1 species